UACGAAGGGGGCUAGCGUUGCUCGGAAUCACUGGGCGUAAAGGGUGCGUAGGCGGGUCUUUUAAGUCAGGGGUGAAAUCCUGGAGCUCAACUCCAGAACUGCCUUUGAUACUGGCGAUCUUGAGUCCGGGAGAGGUGAGUGGAACUGCGAGUGUAGAGGUGAAAUUCGUAGAUAUUCGCAAGAACACCAGUGGCGAAGGCGGCUCACUGGCCCGGUACUGACGCUGAGGCGCGAAAGCGUGGGGAGCAAACAGG
rnacentral:rRNA from 1 species